GGUUGUAGCUCAGGGGUAGAGUGCUUGCCUAGCAUAUGAGAGGCACUGGGUUCGAUCCAUAGCACCA
rnacentral:tRNA from 1 species